rnacentral:rRNA from 1 species
CUAAGAAUAUUCCGCAAUGGACGAAAGUCUGACGGAGCGACGCCGCGUGGAUGAAGAAGGCCGAAAGGUUGUAAAAUCCUUUUGCUGGGGAAGAAUAAGUCUGGGAGGGAAUGCCCGGAUGAUGACAUGAACCGGCGAAUAAGCCCCGGCUAACUACGUGCCAGCAGCCGCGGUAACACGUAGGGGGCGAGCGUUGUUCGGAAUUACUGGGCGUAAAGGGCAUGUAGGCGGCUUUGUAAGCCUGGCGUGAAAGUCUGCAGCUUAACUGCGGGAAUGCGUUGGGAACUGCGAAGCUUGAGUUACGGAGAGGGAGCUAGAAUUCCUGGUGUAGGGGUGAAAUCUGUAGAGAUCAGGAAGAAUACCAAUGGCGAAGGCAAGCUUCUGGCCGAUGACUGACGCUGAGGUGCGAAAGUGUGGGGAUCAAACAGG